rnacentral:lncRNA from 10 species
ACAGGAACAGCCAAGAACCAUAUUUUCAAGGGUAUUUGAAAUGUGUUAAUCUUUGCUAAUGGGAUGAGUGACAAUGGGUAUCCCAUUAUUUUAGUUGGUUUUUCACCAGUUUUUAGUCCACUGAGAUUUAAUUACAGAGUUGGAUAGUAAUUGCAUUUACUAUCAGGGUCCACCAAGCCAUUCGUUGUAGCUGUCAGUACCAGCCUCUGCACGCUGCUGUCUACCAUGAAUAUUUUUUCUUCAAGCAGUUCAACUCACGCCCUGAUGUAAAUAUCUGUAAGUAGAGCUUGAAAAUUAUUUUCAAUCCCUUGCAGUUGUUUCCCAUGAACUAUUUUUUAAAUUUGUUUCUUUUUUUUUUUUUUGGCGUGGAGAGCUGCUUGCACUUUGUACACAUUCAUUUUGUUGGUGGAUGGAUUUACAGUCGCAUUUCCAUGCAGAUAAGCUGUUGACGUUAGCCAGAUGUUUUAAUAAGAUUCUGUUUACCCUGCUAGUAAGGAGAAGCUCUGAUUCAAGGGAG